rnacentral:tRNA from 1 species
ACUUAAGUAGUUUAAUCUAAAAUUUCAAUUUGUGGUGUUGAAGAUGUGAAUUUUCAUUUUAAGUA